UACGUAGGGUCCAAGCGUUAUCCGGAAUCACUGGGCGUAAAGGGUGCGUAGGUGGCGCCGUAAGUCGGGUGUGAAAUUUCGGAGCUUAACUCCGAAACUGCAUUCGAUACUGCGGUGCUUGAGGACUGGAGAGGAGACUGGAAUUCAUGGUGUAGCAGUGAAAUGCGUAGAGAUCAUGAGGAAGACCAGUGGCGAAGGCGGGUCUCUGGACAGUUCCUGACACUGAGGCACGAAGGCCAGGGGAGCAAACGGG
rnacentral:rRNA from 1 species